GUGGGGAAUAUUGGACAAUGGGCGAAAGCAUGAUCCAGCCAUGCCGCGUGUGUGAAGAAGGUCUUCGGAUUGUAAAGCACUUUAAGUUGGGAGGAAGGGCAGUAAGUUAAUACCUUGCUGUUUUGACGUUACCAACAGAAUAAGCACCGGCUAACUUCGUGCCAGCAGCCGCGGUAAUACGAAGGGUGCAAGCGUUAAUCGGAAUUACUGGGCGGAAAGCGCGCGUAGGUGGUUCAGCAAGUUGGAGGUGAAAUCCCCGGGCUCAACCUGGGAACUGCCUCCAAAACUACUGAGCUAGAGUACGGUAGAGGGUAGUGGAAUUUCCUGUGUAGCGGUGAAAUGCGUAGAUAUAGGAAGGAACACCAGUGGCGAAGGCGACUACCUGGACUGAUACUGACACUGAGGUGCGAAAGCGUGGGGAGCAAACAGGAUUAGAUACCCCAGUAGUCC
rnacentral:rRNA from 1 species